AAACAUCGCCUCUUGCUAACAAUAUAAGAGGUCCUGCCUGCCCAGUGACAUUUAUGUUUAACGGCCGCGGUAUCUUGACCGUGUGAAGGUAGCGUAAUCAAUUGUCUUUUAAAUGAAGACUCGUAUGAAUGGCUUAACGAAAACUCAACUGUCUCAUUCUUUUAACCAAUGAAAUUGAUCUCCCCGUGCAGAAGCGGGGAUAAAAACAUAAGACGAAAAGACCCUGUGGAGCUUCAGACACUGAUCGCGUCUUAGGUUGGGGCGACCGCGGAGAAAGCCUCCAGAAUGUUUAGAGUAACCACUCUAAGUACUAGAAAAUCUAACUUUAUGAACCGGCUUACCGAUUAACGAACCCAGUUACCCCAGGGAUAACAGCGCAAUCCCCUUUUAGAGCCCAUAUCCACAAGGGGGUUUACGACCUCGAUGUUGGACCAGGACAUCCUAAUGGCGCAUCAGCCGUUAAUGGUUCGUUUGUUCAACGAUUAAAGUCCUAC
rnacentral:rRNA from 1 species